AAAAGGAGGGAGGUUCUUGGGGAGUUCUAACGAAGGGCGUGGCCAGCAAACUGUCAGUCACUGCCGUUUACCACACAAAAUGGGUGUGCUCAAAUAUAAGGACAUCCAAUGGCAAGCGACGUUGCUUGUGUCACCAUGGUGAUGGGGCUGUACUCGGGGAGGUUGUGAUGGGUUGACAGGUGCGUGACAAUCGGAGCUCUCUGCAAGCAUGUACGCCAAAGGCAAGAGUAACAACGUGCCGUCCGACAGCCAAGCCAGAGAAAACAGUGGAGGUUGCAGGCCUGUAUCCUCUGAUAUUUCCUCCAUCAUUGAUAUGCAAGACACAUUGCCCAGGCGCUAGCGCAAGGUUAAGCAUGCGUGACGGCCAGGCUUAGGAACGGCCUCAGUCUCUCUCUCUCUCUCUCUCUCGCUCUCUCUCUCUCUCUCUCUCUCUCUCUCUCUCUGUGUGUCUCUGUCUUUUUUUUGCUCUCUCAUUUCCCUCCUCUGUGUUUGAGUGUUAGGCCACAAAGUUCUUCAUUUUAAUCAUCCAUAAAUGUACCUUCCUACCCCCUCCUCUUUUAUAUUACAGCAUACAUAUGACUGCCACUGAACCCUAUAAAGUCCUAUAAGACAUUUUCUCCCUCCUGCAUGCAGGGCUGUAUAUUUUCCUGUCCAGGACUUAAAUGGCUGGCAGAGUCUGCUUGGCAUUUAUAAGAUCCACAUAAUGUUAUUUCCCAAUCAGAGAGAAAAGCAGGAGAGGGAUGGAUGACAUCAUAGACAUAUUUCAGUGCAGAGCUGGACAACACUGGGUAUUGUUGUCUGUGAGAAACCUUUGCUUCAAUCUUCAAUAUCACUGGUAGUACAGGAAUAAGGUUAUAUAUGGGCAUUUCAAGUGUCUGAAAUAGGGUUCUAUAGACCUAGUAGUAUUAUUGCUAUCACCAUAUUCGUCACAUAGUUUAGUUGCCAUGAUCUAAUUGUGCCGCUGAACGUAACCUACCGGUAUUGGAACAACCUUACGUAUAACAACUAGCGCCUCACAGCUUUCUGUAUAGGGUGUUCUUGGUGGUAGUGUGGAAUGUUACAUUGUGUGAGCUCAACAAUAGGCUAUGGAAUUCAUGAAGCUCCGGCGCUAGCGGGAAAACGUUCUGGCAGACACAUUCUAGGUCUGACAUUCUAAGACGAGGAGGCCGGCGACGGUAGAGAACACACCGGGCUCUCUCACCGCUCAUAAACAAAACCAAGAGGGAGGAUAGACCAGCGUUUCUCUGUGUGUGUGUGUGUGUGUGUGUGCGUGCAUCCAUGUUUGUGUGCACUCAUGCUGUGUAAGCAUGUGUUUAAGACAUUCAGUGCCAGACUGUGACGUACUCCAUACUUUGUCUCAAGUUAUCAUUGACCUUUCAUUGUGACUCACAUAGCCUACAGUGCUGUCAACAUUCUGUCCAUUCAGGUCAUCCUGACCAGGGACUAUACUAUACUCCUUUAAAUGAAUUUAUUUUUAUAUAUAAUGGAGCUGUCUAGAAGGGUCACCUCUUCAAAUAGAUCCUCACCUCUCCCUGUCUGAUAAGCUGGUAUUUCCUGUUGUCCUUGCCAAGAAUAUUUUUGUCUCCCAUGUUAGGCCAAAGCCUAUCUGAACCAAUGACAAUGAAGUAGAACUACUUUUCAUUUUCAAGCCCCUCAACAUUGUUUUGUCUGUCUUUAAGAGAAAC
rnacentral:lncRNA from 1 species